rnacentral:rRNA from 1 species
GGGUGUGACUGCGUACCUUUUGUAUAAUGGGUCAGCGACUUAUAUUCUGUAGCAAGGUUAACCGUAUAGGGGAGCCGCAGGGAAACCGAGUCUUAACUGGGCGUUAAGUUGCAGGGUAUAGACCCGAAACCCGGUGAUCUAGCCAUGGGCAGGUUGAAGGUUGGGUAACACUAACUGGAGGACCGAACCGACUAAUGUUGAAAAAUUAGCGGAUGACUUGUGGCUGGGGGUGAAAGGCCAAUCAAACCGGGAGAUAGCUGGUUCUCCCCGAAAGCUAUUUAGGUAGCGCCUCGUGAAUUCAUCUUCGGGGGUAGAGCACUGUUUCGGCUAGGGGGUCAUCCCGACUUACCAACCCGAUGCAAACUACGAAUACCGAAGAAUGUUAUCACGGGAGACACACGGCGGGUGCUAACGUCCGUCGUGAAGAGGGAAACAACCCAGACCGCCAGCUAAGGUCCCAAAGUCAUGGUUAAGUGGGAAACGAUGUGGGAAGGCACAGACAGCCAGGAUGUUGGCUUAGAAGCAGCCAUCAUUUAAAGAAAGCGUAAUAGCUCACUGGUCGAGUCGGCCUGCGCGGAAGAUGUAACGGGGCUAAACCAUGCACCGAAGCUGCGGCAGCGACACUAUGUGUUGUUGGGUAGGGGAGCGUUCUGUAAGCCUGCGAAGGUGUGCUGUGAGGCAUGCUGGAGGUAUCAGAAGUGCGAAUGCUGACAUAAGUAACGAUAAAGCGGGUGAAAAGCCCGCUCGCCGGAAGACCAAGGGUUCCUGUCCAACGUUAAUCGGGGCAGGGUGAGUCGACCCCUAAGGCGAGGCCGAAAGGCGUAGUCGAUGGGAAACAGGUUAAUAUUCCUGUACUUGGUGUUACUGCGAAGGGGGGACGGAGAAGGCUAUGUUAGCCGGGCGACGGUUGUCCCGGUUUAAGCAUGUAGGCUGAUUGUCCAGGCAAAUCCGGAUAAUCAAGGCUGAGGUGUGAUGACGAGGCACUACGGUGCUGAAGUAACAAAUGCCCUGCUUCCAGGAAAAGCCUCUAAGCAUCAGGUAACAUUAAAUCGUACCCCAAACCGACACAGGUGGUCAGGUAGAGAAUACCAAGGCGCUUGAGAGAACUCGGGUGAAGGAACUAGGCAAAAUGGUGCCGUAACUUCGGGAGAAGGCACGCUGGUGUGUAGGUGAAGUCCCUGCGGAUGGAGCUGAGACCAGUCGAAGAUACCAGCUGGCUGCAACUGUUUAUUAAAAACACAGCACUGUGCAAACACGAAAGUGGACGUAUACGGUGUGACGCCUGCCCGGUGCCGGAAGGUUAAUUGAUGGGGUUAUCCGUAAGGAGAAGCUCUUGAUCGAAGCCCCGGUAAACGGCGGCCGUAACUAUAACGGUCCUAAGGUAGCGAAAUUCCUUGUCGGGUAAGUUCCGACCUGCACGAAUGGCGUAAUGAUGGCCAGGCUGUCUCCACCCGAGACUCAGUGAAAUUGAACUCGCUGUGAAGAUGCAGUGUACCCGCGGCAAGACGGAAAGACCCCGUGAACCUUUACUAUAGCUUGACACUGAACAUUGAGCCUUGAUGUGUAGGAUAGGUGGGAGGCUUUGAAGCGUGGACGCCAGUCUGCGUGGAGCCAACCUUGAAAUACCACCCUUUAAUGUUU